GACGAACGCUGGCGGCGUGCUUAACACAUGCAAGUCGAGCGGUGGACCUCUUCGGUUGGUUUCAGUGUCGAACGGGUGGGUAGGUCAUUAACACCCUGCUCCCGGCUCUGGGAUACCUCGAAGACAUCGGGACUCAUGCCGGAUGUUCACCGCUUACCGCAAACGUCGUGGUGCAAAAGUUUUGCUGCAGCUGAUGGUCCCGAGGCCAAUGAGCUUGUUGGUAUUGUAGUGGCCUACCAGGGCCACGACGGGUAGCCGGCCUGGGAGGGUGGCCGGCCACACGGGGACUGCGACACGGCCCAGAAGGCUACGGGCGGCAGCAGUGGGGAAUAUUGCGCAGUGGGGGGAAGCGUGAGGCAGCGACGUCGCGUGGGGGAUGCCGGCUUUUGGGGGGUAAACCUCUUUCAGCAGGGACGUAGCGAAAGUGACGGUACCUGCAGAAGAAGCACCGGCUAACUACGUG
rnacentral:rRNA from 1 species